rnacentral:rRNA from 1 species
ACGAACGCUGGCGGCACGCUUAACACAUGCAAGUCGAACGAGAGAAGAGGAGCUUGCUUUUCUGAUCUAGUGGCGGACGGGUGAGUAACACGUGAGCAAUCUGCCUUUCAGAGGGGGAUACCGAUUGGAAACGAUCGUUAAUACCGCAUAACAUAAUUGAACCGCAUGAUUUGAUUAUCAAAGAUUUAUCGCUGAAAGAUGAGCUCGCGUCUGAUUAGCUAGUUGGUAAGGUAACGGCUUACCAAGGCGACGAUCAGUAGCCGGACUGAGAGGUUGAUCGGCCACAUUGGGACUGAGACACGGCCCAGACUCCUACGGGAGGCAGCAGUGGGGAAUAUUGCACAAUGGAGGAAACUCUGAUGCAGCGAUGCCGCGUGAGGGAAGAAGGUUUUAGGAUUGUAAACCUCUGUCUUCAGGGACGAAAAAAGACGGUACCUGAGGAGGAAGCUCCGGCUAACUACGUGCCAGCAGCCGCGGUAAUACGUAGGGAGCGAGCGUUGUCCGGAAUUACUGGGUGUAAAGGGAGCGUAGGCGGGGUCGCAAGUCAGAUGUGAAAACUAUGGGCUUAACCCAUAAACUGCAUUUGAAACUGUGGUUCUUGAGUGAAGUAGAGGUAAGCGGAAUUCCUAGUGUAGCGGUGAAAUGCGUAGAUAUUAGGAGGAACAUCAGUGGCGAAGGCGGCUUACUGGGCUUUAACUGACGCUGAGGCUCGAAAGCGUGGGGAGCAAACAGGAUUAGAUACCCUGGUAGUCCACGCCGUAAACGAUGAUUACUAGGUGUGGGGGGACUGACCCCUUCCGUGCCGCAGCAAACGCAAUAAGUAAUCCACCUGGGGAGUACGACCGCAAGGUUGAAACUCAAAGGAAUUGACGGGGGCCCGCACAAGCAGUGGAGUAUGUGGAUUAAUUCGAAGCAACGCGAAGAACCUUACCAGGUCUUGACAUCGUAUGCAUAGCUCAGAGAUGAGUGAAAUCUCUUCGGAGACAUAUAGACAGGUGGUGCAUGGUUGUCGUCAGCUCGUGUCGUGAGAUGUUGGGUUAAGUCCCGCAACGAGCGCAACCCUUACUGUUAGUUGCUACGCAAGAGCACUCUAGCAGGACUGCCGUUGACAAAACGGAGGAAGGUGGGGAUGACGUCAAAUCAUCAUGCCCCUUAUGACCUGGGCCUCACACGUACUACAAUGGCUGUCAACAGAGGGAAGCAAAGCCGCGAGGUGGAGCAAACCCCUAAAAGCAGUCUUAGUUCGGAUUGUAGGCUGCAACCCGCCUACAUGAAGUCGGAAUUGCUAGUAAUCGCAGAUCAGCAUGCUGCGGUGAAUACGUUCCCGGGCCUUGUACACACCGCCCGUCACGCCAUGGGAGUCGGUAACACCCGAAGCCUGUAGUCUAACCGCAAGGAGGACGCAGUCGAAGGUGGGAUUGAUGACUGGGGUG